GCCGCGGUGGCGAAAUUAGGUAUACGCGCAGGACUUAAAAUCCUGUGGUGUAAUACACCGUGUGGGUUCGAUUCCCACCCGCGGCA
rnacentral:tRNA from 6 species